rnacentral:lncRNA from 1 species
UCCACCAACAGUACCUACUUCUGUUAUUUCUGCCACCUGGCAAAGGCCCCAAACACUAAACUCCAGGGCAUUCUUUUUCCUACUUUCUUGGGCAAAUUACUUCUGCCCCACUCUCUUUGUCCUCAAAAAAGGUAUGAUGACAAUAUCCAUUUCAUUGGGUCAAGGACUUAGAAAGUGUCUGGCAUGCAGUUAGCCAUCAACAAGUGUGAAUCCCUGUGAUUCCGACAUCUCUGCCAAAAGGUCUAAUCAGAACUAGGAAUAUAGCAAAAUAAAAUUCGCUUCCUGAAUGCUUACCACCUGACUUUUUCUCCCCACUCAAUUCCAGAGCCCUGAGUGAGGACAUCCAGGAAUGACAGAGAAUGCACCUGGCUCCACUGUCUUUCAGUAUUUACUUGUUCAGUCUGCAACCUGAGCGCCCACUGAAUGCCUGCCGAUAAUAGAUGAUUUAGGAAAACUGUCUCACAGAAUGGAAAGGAAAAAAAUAAUGUGAGAUUCCUUUGUUUUCCCAUAUAUGAAGAUGAACCUCAAAUAGAAUAAAGCCCUCAAUGUGAAAGGUAAAACUGGAAAGCUGACAGAAUACAGAAUAUCUUUGUAAUCUUGGGGUAAGGAAA